UGGGGAAUAUUGGACAAUGGGCGCAAGCCUGAUCCAGCAACGCCGCGUGGAGGACGAAGGCCUUAGGGUCGUAAACUCCUGUCAGUAGGGACGAAAAAGUAGGGUCGAACAGGCCCUGCCAUUGACGGUACCUGCAGAGGAAGCCCCGGCUAACUCCGUGCCAGCAGCCGCGGUAAUACGGAGGGGACUAGCGUUGUUCGGAAUUACUGGGCGUAAAGAGUUCGUAGGCGGACUAGCAAGUUAGAGGUGAAAUCCCAGGGCUCAACCUUGGAACUGCCUUUAAAACUGCUAGUCUAGAGACCGGAAGAGGUUAGGGGAAUACCUAGUGUAGAGGUGAAUUCGUAGAUAUUAGGUGGAACACCAGUGGCGAAGGCGCCUAACUGGUCCGGUACUGACGCUGAGGAACGAAAGCGUGGGGAGCAAACAGGAUUAGAUACCCUGGUAGUCCACGCCGUAAACGAUGUCAACUAGCCGUUGGGGAACUUGAUUCGUUUAGUGGCGCAGCUAACGCGAUAAGUUGACCGCCUGGGAGUACGGCCGCAAGGUUAAAA
rnacentral:rRNA from 1 species